AUAAGCAGAAGACUCUCAUCUCAGAAAUCCUCUUUGCCGUUUUAUUACCUAUCCUUUUUGUGGAGGAUGCAUCUAUUGGGCUGCUUUGAAAAGUCUGUACCCUCAAAACAUCCUGCAGUUAUCUGUGCGCUGCUGAUCUCAAGCAAGAUACUAUCUCCUCCUUUUGCAGAGGUUCCAAUCCGAUCCAAUCCAAUCCAGUCCAGAGCAGAGCAGCUGGAACAA